rnacentral:lncRNA from 1 species
AGGAUUUGGAGGUCAGGGUAAGGGAGGCUAACAUUUGUGUCCUGAGUGAGAAGAGGAACAUAGCCAGGGGAAGAUCUCGAGAUCUCCACAGGGUCUGAGGCUGCGGCUGAACACAGAGUGCGGCUGACAGGAUACUUACUGGGACAAAACAACUGCCAGGAAGUUUUAAGCUGAACAGUUUCCAAAGCUAACAGAGGGUUGGAAGAUGGUUUAGUUUUUCAAACACAGUAAAGAGAUUUUGUUAAAAUCCGAGACAUUCAAUAUAGACUGGAAAAGGUUUACAUUUAGUAUUAAGGUAAGAAUAAAGGCACGUUUAUGAGGAAAGCGUAUGAACAGGUCUUGAAGUUGAUCUGCAAGUGACUUAGCUGCCAGUCAAAAUAAAACUUAAUGCUCUUUAAAGGACUACAAAAUUAUGACACCUAACAGUGAGUCAUUCUCAGUGCCAAGUAAAAAGGCCACUGCAGGGCUAUAGAACAAUGACCCACACAGACAAAGUAAAUAAAUCGGACAAUAGAAAUAGACAGAAAAAAAAACCCAAUUAAUCUAAAAGGGAUAAGAAAUAUGAGGGGUUUUUCAGCCCUACCUUUUUUUCUUUCUUUCUUUUUUUUUUUUUUUUUUUGUUUUUUUGAGACAGGGUUUCUCUGUAUAUCCCUGGCUGUCCUGGAGCUCACUCUAUAGACCAGGCUGGUCUCGAACUCGAAAUCCGUCUGCCUCUGCCUCCCAAGUGCUGGGAUUAAAGGCAUUCGCCACCACCGCCUGUCUCAGCCCUACUUUUAAUAAUGGUUCUUAAAUGCUUUAACCUCUCUUCUAGCCCUCUAUCCACCAGAGGUAGUGGAAAAGAAAGGUUAUUAGGAUAUGGGGGCAGAGGAUAUGUUUAGAAGUUGUUCUUUGGAGCCACUCACAUCUGUGUUAUCUGGAAAUCAGCAGUUCAGUUCACAGAAUUAAUCAGCGGCAGCUUGAUCCACUCACAAACCCUACAUGAAUAUGUCAAUAGUCAGGUUUGGCAAUGUCAGGAUAGCAAAUGAAUCAGCAUCAGUAGCAUGAUUUAGCAGAGACAGCCAGGCCUCAGCUGAAUUGGGACAAGUCAGCAGGAGGGACUAGUACCACAGGGACUCCAGGAGUUCCUGUCUGUGUCUCAAGUGAAGACUCAAGACCAAGAAGCAUUGCAAAACUAGCUGUGCAAGCAAGCCAAGCCCCAGUCACUGUGUGAUGUGCCUAUUUAUACUCCCUCCAAAUAUGUGUCCUCCACGGGUCUUGCCUCAUGUGUCAUGCCUCAGCACAUGAGUCUUUAUCAGCUGACAUCACUCUGCCAAUUGGCCCAAGUCCACUGAAGCAGCAGGGGCCUCUGGAGAAAUUUUUUGGUGCAUUUCUCUUUAUGGAGUCAGAGCAAAUGGAGCUCAGCAAUGCAUGGAAGGCGAACCAAUGAAUGUGUGUCAUUAGUGAAGACUUGUUCAUCAUGAGUCCUUUCACGUGCUUACUUCAGCAGAUUAUCCUUUCAAUUGUGUCUGCGUUAUCGAAACAUCCUUUUACUUGUGUCCACUUCAGGAAAAUACUCCUUCAUGUGUUUGCUCCAAAAAAACCACCAUCCAACACAACUGAUUUUCAAAGAAACCAGAAGUUUCCACUUAAGAAAUGUUAGUUUAAAACAAAGUCAUAAGC